GUAAGGAAUAUUGGUCAAUGGACGAAAGUCUGAACCAGCCAUGCCGCGUGAAGGAUGAAGGCCCUCUGGGUUGUAAACUUCUUUUAUCUGGGACGAAAAAAGGGUAUUCUUACUCACUUGACGGUACCAGAGGAAUAAGCACCGGCUAACUCCGUGCCAGCAGCCGCGGUAAUACGGAGGGUGCAAGCGUUAUCCGGAUUCACUGGGUUUAAAGGGUGCGUAGGUGGGUAUUUAAGUCAGUGGUGAAAUCUCCGAGCUUAACUCGGAAACUGCCAUUGAUACUAUUUAACUUGAAUGCCCUGGAGGUAAGCGGAAUAUGUCAUGUAGCGGUGAAAUGCUUAGAUAUGACAUAGAACACCAAUUGCGAAGGCAGCUUACUACGGGGUGAUUGACACUGAGGCACGAAAGCGUGGGGAGCAAACAGGAUUAGAAACCCUUGUAGUCC
rnacentral:rRNA from 1 species